ACAGCCUGUGUUGGGCUGCUGUGGCUCUUCCAUCAGCCUCACUCUGGAGAAGGACAAACCAAUGCCCUCUCAGCGCAAACUCUCAAACACAUCCAACAUGUCAAUCUCAGACUCAGAGAGUUACUCACCUUCCCUGGACCACCAUCUUCAUCACCAAACAGUCCAGAGCACCAGUACAACUGCCAGUGACACAACACACAGAAUGAUGCUAUCUUUGUAAUGCUGUUAAACCUAUCUUUUUUAAGUGUGACCACCAGUAGGUGUCAAUAGUGAUCACCAAAUGUGAAAGAAAAAUAAAUUGUAAAAUCUUCA